UUCGUAGCCGGCUUGGAAAGUUUCUAAUGAAAUCCUGCAGCUGACUGCAGGGCUUGUUAGAAAUACUUCCGGGCUUGGAACCGGGAGAGGUCGAGGGUAUUAUUGGGGUAGGGGUAAAAUCCUAUAAUCCCAAUAAGACCACCUGUGGCGAAGGCGCUCGACUAGAACGGAUUCGACGGUGAGGGACGAAAGCUGGGGGAGCAAAGC
rnacentral:rRNA from 1 species